UGCUACAGCCUUGUCAUCCUGAACACGCGGGAUCCCGUCUGAUCUCGGAAGCUAAACAGGGUUGAACCUGGUUAGUACUUGGAUGGGAGACCACCUAGGAAGAGCAGGUGCUGUAGGCA
rnacentral:rRNA from 1 species